CUUUUUGGCCAUGUGAGGACACAGAGAAAGCACCAUCUGUGAGAAACAGGGCCUCCACUAUAUACUGAACUUGCCACCACCUUGACCUGGGACUUCCCAGUUUCCAGAACUGUGAGAAAUAAAUUUUUUAUGAUUUACCCAGUCUAAGAUAUUUUGUGACAGCAGCAGGAAUGGACUAACAUACUGGGUCUAGCAAAGAGUUCUCAAGAGAUGGGGCCUGGAUGUGUUGCUUAGGCUGUGUGAAACACCUGGUCUUAAGCGAUCCUCUCACCCUGGCCUCCCAAAGCAUUGGGAUUACAGGGAGAAAAGAAUGGGAACUGUGAGGAAAAGAAUGACAUGAACAAUGGGAAGACCAAGGUCCCAGCACAAGUAGUAGAUGCUGAGGAAAGAAGAAGUAUGUUGUGGAGUAAGUGAGUGGGCCUGAGUUGAGAAGAUCCUGGCCUUGGAUUUUAAAACUGUCAGGAAUUGCAUAAAUUCGCUAGAAUCAGAAGUCAGUUGUCCUGAUCUCAGAACAAUUUGGUGUGUACAAAGUCCAAGGUUUGAAAACUCAUCAAGAAGUCAGCAUCCUGCAAGAAUCAGCCACCCAUGCCACACUUUCUAUAGUAACUUCUGUUCUGCAUCAGACUACAUCACUCUGGCUUUCUGGUAUGCGGAUUUGUAUUAGUCCAUUUUCAUACUGAGACCAGGUAAUUUAUGAAAAAAAGAGGUUUAAUUGACUCAUGGUUCCACAUGGCUGGGUGGGUGUCAGGAAACUUACAAUCAUGGCGGAAGGCAAAGAGGAAGCAAGGCAUGUCUUACAUGGCAGCAGGGGAGAGACAGAGAGAGAGAGAGAGAGAGAGGGAGGGAGAGAGAGCGAGCAAGGGAAAUGCCAGACACUUAUCUAACAACCAGAUCUCAUGAGAACUCCCGCACUAUCAUGAGAACAGCAUGGGGGAAACUGCCCCCAGGAGCCAAUCACCUCCCACCAGGUCCCUCCCUCGACAUGUGGGGAUUACAAUUCAAGAUGAGAUUUGAGUGGGGACACAGAGCCAAACCAUAUCAGAAUGGUAGGAGUAACAUAGGGGUAGCAAGAUUGCAUCCUCAAACUCUUGUAUUCUGCCUUUUGAAUAUUGUUGACAACGGUAUUUUCUAUAAACCCUAAGCAGCUGUAAAUCUAAAGGAAUAAGGCAAACAUGUUUUUCCUUUCCAAACAUUAAAAUACUUUUAUUAAGUCAUCCAAUGAGCACUUUCUAGGGGAAAAAAUAGUUUAUGUGUGGUUUGGAUGCUAAGCAUUGACUCAGUGUCAGGCCUAUGAAGGAGAAGGCCAAGCUAUGCCUGCUGACACACAAGUAAUCAUGGAAAAAAUAAAGACUGUCCCAAGUUUGUUAAAUGAAGCCAUACGUUUGGAAAAGCAUGAUAUGCCAAACUCUUAUAUUCUUCUUUUGUUGUUCAAGAUUAUUCUCUUUCUUGCCCAUCAGAAUCAUGGUUUUUCCUUCCAAUACACAAAUGUUCCCAGAUCUCACUGUUGCCAUAAUCUUCUCCCAAGUGUUCUAUAUUUUGUACAGUGCUAGUCAUACAUAAUAUUAAGCAAUACUUGAGAAAGCAAGGCAUUUGAAAUGACUAUUUAGGCUAGGAAUUUUAUAGAGACUACAUGUAGUUGUUCUUCUUACUUUAGGGAUCACUUUUAUAAUACAAAGAAUGACUGCAAUAUAAGCUUUGAAAGACUGACUCACUAAGGAAACAAGACAGGUUUGGAAAAAUGGAUCCCUUGCCAUUGACGCACUCUGGAGAACUCUUUAAAAAAUGGUAAUCUGAGAAAUUUAAUUGCCACGUAACUGUUCACAUAAAACUGAUACUAUCAGUAAGUGGACCAAAUUAAAUAUUCUGUGAAAACGUUGCAUUUCACAACCAGGUGUUUUGAUUUUUUGAAAUGAAAGAAAAAAAAAGGAAGUCAGCUUUUAGCUAUGUGGUGCAGUUGAUCUUCUCUGGAAAGUUAUUCUGCAGAUCUACCAAAUGAAUUAAAGAUGAGAAGACAAAUGUAGGAGAUAAAAAGGCAAAGAAGAGAUGUUUAUCUGCUGUGUACCACUUUUGUGAUGGUGGAUCCCUUCAUCUUUCUGUGCCUCAUUUUUUUCUUAUUUCUACAUAGAGGGCACUAUUCCAGGCCAGUGCUCUGGGAGGAAUUACCCAGAAUCCCUGUAGAAGCCACUACUGAUGUCAGCUACAAGAGGAAGGGAACCCAAGUGGACUUCAGCCAGAACAAAGCUCUGUCACAUGUUGGAAUUUUACUGAACUUGAACAAAUUAUUCUUCAGAAAAAGUAUUUUAAAGUCAAAAGACUCCUAGAUGAUUUCUAGGUCUUUUGCAGCAUUAACUUCCUUUGAAUCAAUGCCUUCAAUGAUUAUUUAAAAGAAAAGAAAGAAAAAAUCAGAAAGUAAAGAAAUGGAUUUAGCUAGUAACCUUUAAAGAAAGCCCUCUUUCAUUCAUUUUUCUUCAAAGAUUUAUGUGAUUUUUUUCUUAUCUUGAUGUAUAAUAAUAAGAAUUAGCUGCAAAAAGCUACAAGAAAGGUUGCAUAAGUGCAUACAUUCUUUUCGAGUUCUGCUUCCUGUGGUAGUUCUUCACUUUUAAUGAUGAGUUGCUGAAGCAGGCACUCAUUCUUUUAUUGCAUCAUUUAUUCUUGUUAUCUGGGGAAGUAACAAUGACAAGCUUUCCUAAGUAACAGCCCAACUCUUAUUUGUGGCCCCUUUUCCUAUGUCAAUAUUAGGAUCAUUCUAUCAACGAAGAGGUCCUAUUACCUAGGAAACCAUGAAAGGUAAGACCUAUGAUCACAGGUGCUUACAUGCAUGCAAAUGUAAAAGGAAUACUUAAACCCUCACCUAACUUCUUUGGAAGUUUCAGUACACAGUUUUUGUUGAUAGGCAAUUAAGGUGCGUGUGUGAGUGUAGUAUGUGUUUUUGUAAGAAAAAAAGUAGAGGAAAUGGGAGAUAAUUUAGUGUGCUGGAAAGUUAUAGAAUUUGAUAUCUUGUUUUGCAUAGAUGAUGCAUUGUAGGAGUGACAUUAUUGUGAAACUUUGUUCAGUCGGUUUUCCUUCAAGCGAUUUUGGUGCAGUUUUUCCAAUCCAGUGUUAAGGGCAUGACGAUGUAUUUUUCACAAGCUUGUCUAAGAGGAAACUCUGACAGAUUAUGAUGAGGAAAACUAAAUCCACUCAUGUCAUGUAAACACAUAGAAGACUUCUCAGUGGGGUCUCUGCCUUGUACCUCAGAUGCCAAGGGGGAGUUUGAGAUUUGUCAAGUUGUUGACAACUGCCUUAGUCCAUUUUGUGCUGCCAUAACAGAAUGACACGGAUGUGGUAAUUUAUAAUGAACAGAAAUUUACUUCUUGAGGCUGGGAAAUCCAAGGUUGAGGUGCCAGCAUCUGGCAAGGGCUUUCUUAUUGUGUCAUCAUAUGGUGGAAGGCAGAAUGUCAAGAGAGAAGGAGGAAACCAAUUUUACCCUUUUAUAAAGGCACCCAUUCCACAUGUAAGGGUGAAGCCCUCAUGGCCUGCCACCUUUUAAAGACUCCACCUCUUGAUACUGUCACAAUAGCAACUGCAUUUCAGCAUGAGUUCUGGAAGGGACAGUUUCCAAACCAGAGGAGCAAUUGCCUAUCAGAGGUUGCAAGAAAGAGGUAUUUUACUAUUAUUUGAGCUACCAUUUUUAGCUUUAUCCAUACUUUUAGAAAUAGGUGUUUUAUUGAACUCCAAUUAUCCAGUUUGAGAAUGUCAUAAUUUUCUAUUAGGAGUCUGGCUGAUCUAGUCAUUAAAAAAGACACAUAAUAAAUGUAUAAGCAUGUUUUUAAAUGGACAGUUUAUAAGUUAGUUAAUAAUAUUAGUGUUAAUUACUGUUACCACUAAAUAAAUAAACCACUACAUUUUAUGUUCUUUCAACAAUCUGAAAAAAAUAUUUUGUAAAAAAUUACUGUAAUGCAAAAUUUGGCUUAGUUAGCAACAGAGAGGGUAAAUAUCUGCUUUAAAGAUCACAAUGUCUGAUGGCUAUGAAACAGAUGAGAAGUUUUGAGAAGAUGACAUCAAUAUGGUGUUGAUUGGUUUCAUGUGGCUUUGAGCUUUUCUGCCACUGGGAAGAUCACUACUGUACAUAGUUUACAUAUGAUUCAUGUGUGAUGCCAGAUUGCAGCUUCCUUCUUGCUGUAUCUUAAGUGUACUUGGUAUUCUGAUUCAAGAGUGAGAUCUUGAAGCUUUGGCAAAUAGAAUUGCCUAAUUUUCAUUUGUCCACUAAGCAAUGCAUGCAGUUAAAAAAAUGAAAACAAUACCAAACCUCCUUCUUUUGCAGUGAAGGAGCCCAAAACAAGUUACUCUCUUUCCGUCUCUCUCUUUAACUUAGAAUAUUGGUUAUUUUGUAUUCUCACACAUGUAAAAUUCCUUUCCUUUAAUGCAUAUGUUCUCAAUAAAAAAGAAUUUUCCACUGAAUUUCCAGGAAGACUCAACAUAAUUUAAAGAUGGCACCUUACAAAAAGAACUCUCAAUAGACAAGAAGAGGAGGCAGUAAUAAACAAUUAUUUUCAAGACAGAGUUACCUAAAAUCUUUCCUUGGUUUCUUACCGGCUACAGGACACUUUUCAAACUCUUUGGUUUCACUUUGACAAACUUGCUUCUUGCAAUUCUCCUAAGGUUGUGUGUAUACAACCACGUGGGAUGUGGUGAAUUUAGUCGGCCACAAUGUAAUAGUCUCUUCUCUAUACAUAAAAUUAGAUUACUAAAAUCCCUAUGUAAGAAACUUACAAUCCCGCCAGGGAAAAUUAGGAUUGGGGAAAUGAGAUAAUUAGUUAAUCUCUCAAAAAUCUGAUGAACAUAGUUUAUGUUUUCUAAAAUAGAGCCAUGAAAACAGCCCACCAAAUAAUGAGAAUGUCAAUAUCUCACACGUUCCUUCAUUUGGUAAUUAAUAGCAUGGAAUGGAUAUAUAUUAAUUUAUCAUUCUUUGAUCUCCAGUGACUUUUCAGUAUCUCUGUUCUCCUUUUUCCAUAUAUUAAAUACAGAACUUAUACAUUUGUUUUGUUUGAUGGUGUUAAUCUACAGUGCAGAAGAGUCCCUGUGUUUGUCCACUGUCUAAUUUUCAAAGCCUCUCUGAUUUUAUGAUUUUAAUUUACCUUUUAUCAGUGUGGUUUCACCGCAUUUCUGCAGACAUUCAUGUGGAUGCCUGAGCUGAAAAACUAACCUCACGUAGUCUUUAUUUCUCAACUUGCAUUCCCCAGUGCAGGGCCCAGUGGUGCCAAUUCUGAACAUAGUAAAUUUACAAGAAAGCCCUUCCUCACCUAUAACUUCAGGGAUGUUUUCACCCAUAAACCAAAACACUCAAUUGCAAGGUUUGGGGAUAAUCUUCUCCCAGCUCUCUUUCUCUCUCCUACAGUUUCAUUGCAUUGCCUCAUCUCUCUUUUAUCUUUUCCCUUAUGAGUUAUUUCAGCUUCCUUUUCUUAACUUCUAGUUUCCUAUUUCUCUAAUAAUCUAAGUCAGGGAGAAGUGUAAAUUCAUGUGCAUGGAAACUAAAAUUUCCCCGAGGAUAUAAUGUACAGAGUAAAUCCAUCUUCACUAGAAUUUUAGAACUUGAGAUCGGGCAUGUGUGAUUAUUCUACACAUUUUUAAUGGGUCUCUGUGCUUUCACAUGUGAUUUUGCCUCUUCCAAAAACAGUCUUUGUGUUCUUCACCAUCUGGGAAAUGUGUUUUCAUCCAUGUAAACCCAAAUCAAAUGCCAUUUCCUUUAUGGAAAAUUAUCCAGCUUCAUCAGGCAGAAUAAUUAGCUCCUCUGUAGGCAAAUAGCUCCUUGGUCUAUUUUUGCCAAAGCAAGAACAUCUUAUUUUCCAUACCUACUAUGUGCUUGGCAUUGUAUCAGUACACAUUUCUAUUAGUGCAUUCUAGCACUACAUAUUUUCAGGCCUAUCUUAUGUGAUUGGCUUUGAGCAUUUCCAGAGCAAGUAUAUUUUUGCUUCUUAUACCUACCUCAGGAUUUAACAUAGUGGUGUCUGGCAUAACUAGACAUGGUAAGAAUAAAUGUUUGUUGAAUGAAUGAUGUGUGAAUAUUUGAAUGAGCAUAUUAUAUGAGUUGGUAAGACUAUUCAGUUGCUGGAUGUCAAAACUAAUUAACUGAAUGUAUUUUUAUCUUUGGCUUUUUAUUAGCUUGGUUGCAAAUUCUGUGACAACAGAAUCUGUGUCUUUCAUUCUCAUCUUUACACCCCCAGUUCCAGGUACCUGGUGCCCAACAGGCAUUACUGGAUAUCUGUAGAACUUAUGAUUAAAGAAUAAAAGGAUAACAGUGUGGGAUGAAAAUAAUUCAAUCUUUGACCUUUUUUUUUGAGUAGAGACAAGCACAUUAAAUUUGAUUUUUGUUUAGCCCUAAGCAGCAUCGUAGUUCUGUAUCACUUUUAUAAGCAGCUAGACAUGGAAAAGGUAAAAGUAAGGACAGAGGAUGGAGGCAUAACCUAUUCAGAGUCAAUCAUAUGACUUUUGUCUGAAAAAUUCGUACAUAAAAAAAUGAAUGGUUUGAAACAAAAGCGAACUAUUGGAUGGAAGUAAUUUGCACAUUUAAAACCUGUCUCGCAACCAAGUGCAUCAGUUGAUUCUCUGGCAAACUAUUGCUUUGCCUUUUCUUAUCCAAUAUUUGUUUGUUUUUGAAGGAAAAAAGGUAUGUGACUGAGAGGUAAAAUAUAUGUAUUUUUUCACCAUGAAUACUUGUCUUUAUGCAUUUUGUUAAAAUUGUAGUAAUUGAUAAUAUGUAAGCCUGUUUCGUAAUGGUGAUUUUUUUGGUAUGAUAUCUACAGAUACAAAUAGUGCAUGUGUUAAGGAAACUCAUGCACAAACAAAACAGCACAUGCUGUACUCACAGCCAGUUACACAGAAUGCUCAUGCAUGCAUCUGUUGCUUAUUAAUUUUCUUCCUGCUGUUUGUAUCAUUCUUUUGAAGAAUCUCCAGCAAGCUUUGUGCUUUGCCCAAUUGUUUAUAAUGUCUAUAAAUCAGGGGCUUGGACCAAAUGAAAUGUCUUAGUAGUGUUUGCAAAAUAUUUGGAUAUUCUGAUUGCGUUUUAUUUUCCCAGCUUUAGAAAACAUAUAGAUUAGCCUCUGUUGGGAACUUAUAUUCUCGUUACUCCUUGUCUCUUUUCUUUUUUCAGGAAUUGGUCACUCUUUCAGCCAACUCGUAGGUUCAAACAAUGUUUACAUGUAGUGCUCAGUUUGUUUUAACUUCCUGCUGUAGACAUUGACAGUUUUUUCUUCCUAAGAGUCUUAUGAAUAGGCAACAAAACAAAAACAAAAACAGGCAAAGUCCCAAUCUAUUAACUACGUACUUACAAAUCAGGUGAAAGUGCUUGGUGAACAGUCUAUGUUUUAGCAACUGUUUUUUAACGUUUGGUUGUGACAUUUUUUAACAACAGCCAUUGUUCAAUUGUUAAACUAUGUUUGGAUUUGAGGUCUGAAUGAGCUGAAUUCAAAAUAUGGGACUUUUUAUUAGAAACCCUGGUAAAGUGGACACUGGGGAAAAAGCCCAAGAUUUCAUGUGUUUGAUUUAUUGACUAUGUGCGUCAACAGCCUGCUUUUAAUUCUCAGAGUAAAAUAAAAAUACUCAGAAUCUAAG
rnacentral:lncRNA from 1 species